CCUGCCCAAGAGAUCGGGAUAACACCUGGAAACAGAUGCUAAUACCGGAUAACAACAGAUGAUGCCUAUCAACUGUUUUAAAAAGAUGGUUCUGCUAUCACUCUUGGAUGGACCUGCGGUGCAUUAGCUAGUUGGUAGGGUAACGGCCUACCAAGGAGAUGAUGCAUAGCCGAGUUGAGAGACUGAUCGGCCACAUUGGGACUGAGACACGGCCCAAACUCCUACGGGAGGCAGCAGCC
rnacentral:rRNA from 1 species